rnacentral:lncRNA from 1 species
CUUAAUCAUUUAUUUUUAUUAUUUGACAUUUGACAUUUUUUUACCUUUUUUAUGAUGGUUGAUGACAUUCUACUUGGUCAUGGUCAUUGAUUUUUAGGGUUGAUAAAAAUCUUCAAUAUUUCAAACAUGUCAAUGAAUGAUCAAUAGAUCAUUCAUGACACUUUGAGGUGUUGAUAGGUUGCUCUAUUUAACCAUGUUUUGA